rnacentral:piRNA from 1 species
ACCACUGUUUAGAAUGUCCAGAAUCUGA